rnacentral:lncRNA from 1 species
AAAGAGCCUCCUCCAAAAGAAGCAACAAAUGGGAAGGAAACAGACAAAGCUUGUGAAAUCCCAAACCCUGUUGGUAGAACGACAUCAUAAAUUAUGGAUCCCUCGAGCCGCCUCCGGCCUGUCACUGCUUGGUCUGUCUCCAUGGACGUGCCGGGCGCGGGCGACACUGUUGUCCUGGAGCACUGGUCUCUGAACCUCAGAUCUCUCCCCACCCCCACCUCCUCCUCCGGCCUUUCCCUGGCGCCCCGCGGGGCAGCCCGGCCUGGGGCCGCGGGGACAGAGCCGUGCUCAGCCCCGAGGGACGCACCAGCUGCAGGGACGACGCCCCCCAGCCGGCCGAGCACAGGCUCUCCUUUGUUCCCGGGGACUCCCGCGGGGACACCCGGAGCUGGCCUGGGCGCUCAGGUCCCAGCGGGGCCAGGCCGAGUGGAGGACGGGAGGACGCCCAGAUCGGGCGGGCAGGGAGGGUGAAGGAGGCUGCGCUGCCUUGGCGGCCUUCAUGGGCGGCGUGGCGGGGGCCCGGGGGGCAGCCUGCGACAUCUGUGCGAGAAGGGGAGAGAGAACGCGGUGGGGGCGGAGGGGGGGGGUCGUUACAAUCAGGACGCCCAUCUGGCCCGGCUUUGCUCCGGUGCCAGAAGCCAAGAGGCAGAAGUCAAGGUUAAACGCUGCGGCGGGGCUGCGGCCCCCUUCGCCCGGCCCGACUCCCUGCAGGAGCCCCGCGCCGGCUUCGCCGCCCCACCUUGCCCUUUGUCUUUGCUGGAGCAGAUGUGCGGUGACCCCUGCUAGCAUCGGUGCUGUCAGGAUUAAAGAAGCCUCCACCCCGUUUAGCAACUGCAACUCUCGUCCCCCGACCCUCGCCAACCCACCUCUUGGGGGGUGGGGGUGGUUGUUUGUUUGUUUUUGUUUUUUGAAUUUUGGCAGUAAGUCAAAAGCAGCCAUCAUAAAGGUGCAGAAAGCCCUCGGCUCACAUUUAAAUUUGUGUGCCAAGUUGGCUGCUUGUUAGACCCUUUUAGCGGCGGAACCAUCACCACAGACACAAUGAAUUGUGAGAUUAAAGUUUAAAAAAAAAAAGAAAGAAAGAAAGAAAGAAAACCCUUAUCCUGCAGAUGUCUGCUGAAGGCUGUUCCACCGAGGAGUGUGAAAGGUCUUUGUGUGCAUGUAUGAGUGUGUCUGUAAAGCCAACAGCCGCACAUUUGUUCUCUGGUCAUUAGUCCUUAAUAUCCCUUUUUAAAAAAAAAAAAUAAUGAUGAUGAUGAUGAAAGUUAUCACACUCAAACCUAAGCAACCUCUUUGACAAGCUCUAGUUGCAGAAAUGAAUGGAAGAAAUGGAAGAGUUGGGAUUUCUCAUGAGGCGGAGAAAGGAGAACUCCAGAUCAAGUCGAACUGUGUGUGACUCAGGGGCCCGGAGAAAAUGUGGGUAGAGGAAACGUGGGGUGGGGGGUGGGGGGCAGCUUCCUGGAUUUCUGAUGCAGGAAGAAACCACCGAUGAGAGGGAGGGCAGAUAGGGGAAGGGCGAGGAAGGGGGCUGAGAAGGAGAAAGAGAGGCCAGGGAC